rnacentral:sRNA from 1 species
ACAAUGGUUGACCUAGUAAGAAUUGUAG